GAUCAUAGUUCAACAAUUUGAGGUUAAUACUACAACAGUUUCAUCUAUCUUGCAAAACUGAGUAAUUGGUUUUAGAACUUGGAACAUUAUCCCCAUCACAAGAAUUCCCAUUUAAUUAUCUUCCCAUCCCCACCCUCCCCCCUUUAAGAGAGAAGUCCCCAACUUGCUUAUUUCAAUAAGAAAAUUGUUACAUAAUCAGUCUGUAAUUUUAUUUGUAAUGCAAUUUUAACACACUUUUUUCAAUAAAGUAGACACAAGAAAUCUUAUAAGAAACAAUCUUUAUGAUGCUGCAAUGAAGGCAGAUCACAUUCAACAAAGAGCAAUACAGAGUGGAAUAAAGCAGUAAAACAAAAAAAUUUGAAAUGCUAAAUUAAAUGUCUGCUGAAAUGGCAUUUCUAUAAUGACAGAUGGAAAGUAUUUCAAAGCAUUUUGAAAUGUUCAGACACAUUGUAAAUGCUUGCUUUAAAGUAUUCCAUCAACUAAUAAAAUUUGGAUAUUUCUCCAGAAAGAAUUGUUUGUUUGUUUUUAAAUUCUGAUGGUAGUGCAAUAAAAUGAACACAAAUACAAAAAUAAUGGCAAUGCAAUAGGAGCUCAGCAGUAAGCUACCAGAGGCUGAUAUACCAUUAUACGUGUAUGUUAAGGUGAUAAAAAUUUAGUCUCAAAAGAUCUCUAGUAAUUUAGGAAAUGGUACUUGCUUUCUUUAGAAGCAUCUAGAAAAGACAAGUGAUUGUGCUUUGGGCUUUAGUUAUCUUUUCUUUUGCAUUCAUUUGCCCCCAAAUACAGUCAACUUCUCAGCUUAUAAGUCUUGUAGUCAAGAUAGUUAUUGAGUGUGGUUUGACUUCUAUUUCCUCUCCCUUUCUUCUUUCCUUUUUCCAGGGCUAUCUACCUUGAUCUAUUCCCUAAUAUGGAGGAUUCUUUUGUCAAUGAUUAUUGUCAUACUUAGAAGUGAAAGCGUUCCUAUAUUUUGGAGAAAAGUGAAAACAAAUUAUCCAAAUUGUAUCACAUAACUAAUCAUACUAGAACAUGAAUCCACUUUAAAUCCAGUUUCUGCCUCCUGCAGAAUUCUGGGGUUUGUAGUUUGGUGAGGUCAAGGACCUUUCUGGCUGAGCUGUUUAAAGGCCACUCCCUAAACUGGAUUUAAAGUGGUUCCAAACUCUAGUGUGAUGAGGUCCUUAAACGACAGUUUCCCAAAUGUUUACUUGCCUCGGGCCUCCUUCUCACCUUAAUCCAAUGAUGUUGGAGCCCAAACAGAGCAUAAGAACAGGGUUGUGUGAUGGGGUGAGAAAGAGCCAUCAUUAGCACAAAAAGCAAUACAUGGGUCACCAUUGCACUGUAUACAGAAUGAUUCAAGAUUUUUCUCAUGCAGUUGAGCAUAUGGGACAUCAUCAAUUUAAAUGAACCAAAAUGAAUCAUGUCAAUAAAGCUUUUCUCAUAAAAUUGACACCAGUUUAGAUUCUAUACAAAUGUGAUUUGUGGAGUGUUUUUUUCUGUUUUGCUUUGUUUUUUGGUAAACCUUAGAAUGUCUUAUUUUGUCCUGAUACUAAAAAGAUAGACUGUUAUUUUUAAAGUCUGUCUGUUUGUUUCUGUCUUGGAAAGCAUGUCUUGGAAGGAUACCUUAAAUGUUUUCCCA
ensembl:lncRNA